rnacentral:misc_RNA from 1 species
AAGUCGUAACAAGGUCUCCGUAGGUGAACCUGCGGAGGGAUCAUUAACACAUAUGUAUAUGUGGGCUCAGCACCAUGUACAUAUAUCAUCCAUACCAAUUCUCUUAUCUACCUAUACCGUGAACACAUGUGACCCACCCCUCUACUUUUCAUUUUCAUGUCAGUCGGCUCGGUCGUUCGUUCCGUCGGUUCGGCUGAGAUGAUAGUGAACUGUUGGAGGUUUUUGUUAUCCAUACCUUUUCCAAGCUUCAGUUGUUUUUUUAUUUUGUUAGCUUGCUUUGCAUGCUAUACAGUAUAUACAAAAACAUGCUUUUUGAGUACAACUCUUAGCAACGGAUAUCUUGGUUCUC